rnacentral:lncRNA from 1 species
AGACCGACCGGCAUCAAGAGUCUUCCAUCGGACCUGGCGAAUGUUUUGGAGCAGGAUGCGUUGCGGCUGUAUGCUCUCAUCUAGAAGAGAACGAUGGUGUGUCAGCUGGAGCAAGCCGUGUUUAAUCACGUCUCUCUGGACGUGGAGGACCUGAAAGGCGUUGUGAGGCUGCGAUCGACAGCAUCAAGCAUGGAGUUUCAGAUCGUCUACAGGGGCAAAGACGGCCUUGCCAGUGAAAAUGAAGACGAAGAUUCAGGCGCGGAGAAGAAGCUUCCAUCUCUCAAAGCUGGCAGUUGAGUCUCGGCCAUGGACGUCAAGCACAAGCAGAACGUCACCCAGCCGCCACCUCCAUACACUGAAGGAAGCCUUGUGAAGAAAGAAGAUGGAAAAGCUUGGGAUGGGGAGGCCGUCGACGUACGCUCACGUCCUCAAGACCCUCCAGCUGCGGCAGUACAUGCAAAUCGAGAAGCAGCACACGUGUUCGAGGCCGGAUGGUGGCGGCGUUUUUGUCCGGCUUCUUCACAGAGUUUGUGGACUACAGCUUCACGGCCAAGAUGGAGGAGCAAGUCCGACGCUGUUUCGUCCAGGAGCAUGAAAUGGAAGGAAGUGUUGCAGCAGUUCUGGCCAAAUUUCCACGACAAAGUCACGGCCACGGCCAAAGUUCCAACGCAACCUAGCUGCAUUCUCCAAGCAUGUCCAAGCUCUUGGUAUGCAGUUGCUCGAGGCUGAUCCCAGCUUAGCUCGAGUGGGAGUGUUGAGGACUUAAGCCGCAAUCUCAAGCUGGGAUGCCACGUCAGCAGAAGGGACACAUCCGUUUAGGUUCUGUAGGUGAUCACGCCCGACACAUUCUGUUCUUGAUCUGUCUUCCGCAAUAAAGGUGGACCCAGCAUGGAGCGCUGCUGCGCUCACAAGGCUGGGUGUCCCCAUUUCAUAACAUACCGGACAUGCUCGCCAGCCUCUUCUCGGACAAGCUCGCUGGCAAAGACACCCCCACACCCAGGAGCUCCACCUCGAGCUCACGAACUUUAGAACCGGAUACUUCCUCGGGUGCAAUCGCUAUCCUUCGUGCCACUACAGCAACAGUCUGGACACGAAGAGGAAGAGGAAGAAUGCGGCUCACCGGUGGCAAACUCUAGGAGCAAAGUUCUCAGGGUGGAUUCCAACACGGGACUUCUGGUCUUGUACAAGGAGGGCCAUAUGGAGACUAUGUGCAAAUCCGCGAGGACACCAAAGGGAAGCUCAAGCCAAAGCUCCAAAGAGUUCCCGAGAGCAUAUACUAUGACGCCAUUACUCUGGAGAUGGCGAUGGAGCUGGUGAAGUAUCCCAAGGAGCUGGGAGUGGAUGAAGGAAAGCCGGUGAUGAUCGGGAUUGGGAGGUUGGGUGUUACAUUCGGAAGGAGGCUACUCGAUUUAUGUCCCAAAGGAUCAACACUUGGAGGAGCUGACUUGGGAGAUGGUGCUGGACUUUUUUGUGAAACAGAAACAAGAUCGUCGCAAGAGUAAGUCACCUCAAUUUUUUCUUCCACAUGAAACACAUGCCAAAUCAAAGCGGAAAAGAUAUAUCCAAGCAAACCAUGGCAAAACGAAGAAGAAGAAAAAAGCUAUAUCCUGAUGUAUAGCAAAUCUAGGCUUUGCAAAUCUCCAAAGCCAAUUUUUUCUCAAUUGUUUGAAAGUCCUAUCAGUAUAUCCAAGUGGACUUCAUGGAUUUUUGGACCACCAAGACUGCCGCGUGGACGAAGACUGCACGAGCGCUUUCCCGCCCAUGCGUUUUUGACCCGCCAAGGUUGCUCCAUAUAAGAAGGAAAGCAUUUCGAAGCAGAGCUUCGUGGCAAAGGGAAAAAAAGAGAUUUAGUUUGAGCUCCAGACUUUGCUUGCGUUUAAAGGAGGUUUAUCGAAUUACACUGCUCUAUCUGGCUGGACAAUGGAAAAUUCUCACAAUCUCUGUGUGACUUGGCAAGGAGAGACCUGCAGUAAUGUUACUGGUCACGUUAUAAUGCUUGAUUUGGAGGAUCUCAAUCUGGAAGGAAUAAUCAGUCCGGAAGUAUUGAGGUUGAAAAUUCUGGAGGUGCUUGACCUCUCUUGGAAUGAGCGGACUGGCCCUCUACCAAAAGAGUUUGGAUUGAUGAAGAAACUGAAAAAAUUGUAUUUGUCAUGCGAAAUUCAGGAUUUUAUUGGCAAUUUCUCAUCGCUCGAAUUUAUAUUGACAUUGGUAUUGUACGAAUUUCUUAUGACGAUAUUUUUUUGAAGGUUUUAUACCAACCUCUUCUCCAAAUUUUGUCUUUGGGUCGUUUGAAUGAUACUGGGUCAAUCCGAAAAGAAAUAUAUUUGGAGGAGCUUCAUGUAAUGGAUUGCUCUUUGAGAGGCUCAUUACCACCACAACUUGGUGUUUAAUUUAGAAUUCUGGAUUUGUCUUACAACUUUCUAUCAGGUGAUAUUCCAUCAUUUUCAAAUAAUCUUCUAAAUAAUCUCAAUAACAACAUGUUCAGUGGUAGCAUACCAGUCAGAAUAGGUCAACUGGGAGGAAUACAAUUCAUUGACCUUAGCAAUAACAAAUUUACAGGUUAUAUACCAACGAUCUUGGCAUUUAUCAAAUUUAAGUUAUCUUGCAUUGGAUAACAAUUUGUUGACUAAACCUGCUACCUUGACAAUCGGAUCAAUUGGUUACUUGGAUAUGGAAACAAUUUCAGGGUCUAUUUCAUUGAAAAUGAUAUGUUUAUUUUUGUCAAACAUAAUGCUCACUAGGGAAAUACCAUGAAUUAGUCUUGGGUCUUUAUGUAAUUUGGAAGGCUUGGAUAUGAGCAAUAAUAGCUUAGUUUGGGGUCUGCCAAAUUGGCUCAAGCACUGCACUAAUCUAUAUUUUCUUAUUGUCGAUAGUAACUCGUUGAGUGGAAAGAUUGCAGCAGAUGUCUUUUCUUUUCUUUUCUUUUCUCUACAUCUUGGACUGUUUUUCUCCUCUGAUUUUUCACAGGCACGCUCAAGCAAGACGAUGAAGAUCUUCGAGGUGACGUUUCUAAUAAUGCAAAGCAGCUGGUGUUCUAAAGGCUGUUGGAGAUUUCCACCAAGAAGAAAUUGCCCAAGUAAGUUCUUCUAAAUGUAAUAUCGGUUUUGAAAAUGUUUGGUGCUUUUCCAAGAUUCCUUUGAUGAACCGUUUUUAUCAACAAUAAGAAUAUGUAGAUUAGUGCAGUGCUUGAGCCAAUUUGGCAGACCCCAAACUAAGCUACUUGGAGGGCCUUCAAGACCUUGAGAUCGACUAUUCUCAAGUUUUACUCUAAGAGACUUAUCCUUCAACAAAUCACAAAUGAUCAAUGAGUAUCAACUACCAUCGAUUCCUCCAAAGAGACGAUAAAACAAGAAAAUGGGCUGCUCUCACGGGAAAGGUGGUGGCCAUGGUGGAGUCUCCUGCCAAGGCCAAAACGAUAGAGAAGUACCUGGAAGAGAAUUAUGUGGCGAGCUAUGGUAACAUAUGAGACCGAGUUAGCACAGCCGAUGGUUUUUGACUGGGGUCGAGUACAAUGACCUUCCUGGAAUAUAUGACUACGCUCUCUUCCAGCUUGCAAGCGUAAUGGAUAGCCUCAAGGACAGCCUAGACGAGUACCAGUUUGGAAAAUUCUUCCAGGUUGCUAUACAAGCUUUCCAUCAAGGUUAUUAACUCUGUGCGUUUCCACUUGAAUGCAGUCGGUGCAACGGUAUGGUGCUUGAUCUGUCCAACUUCUAUCUGGAGAUUUUGAAGGACAGAUUAUACCUGGGGUGAGCAAGUUUCUUUCGUUUGGAUCUUCCCUUGUUUCUGAUCAAUUUUCCUGCAGGGGCUAUGAUAGCUCUACAAGAAGAAGCUGCCAAACGCUGUAUCUGGCCUGUGGUGUAUCACCAGUUGUUCCACACUUGGCAAAGGACGCAUGACCAGAAGGGCUCCAAAGCCGAAAGCGUGUUUGAGGCGUGGUGGACCAAACUAGACCCGUGAUGGAGGACGAUCUCUGUGCGUUUUCACGAAGCUGUGGUCACUUCUUCUAGAGGUGAGAAACUUUCCUUGCGAAUCUGCAAGCUGUGACACUCGUUUGCAUGCACAGCUUUGGGUGGAAGCAAUCCUUUGCGUCGAGGUUUGCUCCUAUCAGCUUUCGUAUCCUUGCUGCCUCCAAGACUUUGUAACUUGGAGGGGAGGACGACGUACUCCGCUCCACACUCCAAGCAAUGGCCGCCUUCGAGGAACACGUUAUAGUCUUGACAUCACAGGUAACAGGGAGAAAAAAAAAAGCUUUUCUUGUCUCGCUCAGGUGGAAGUUGUCAAUCUGCGAAGACGGAACAUGGGAGCUGUAAGCUGGAGGGCUGAGGGCCAGAAAUGUGAUAGGUGUUGGAAGUUCUCGCAGCACAGGGGGUGGUUCUAGCUUCUGAUCCAGAUAGAAGGAGAAGCCAUCGCCUGGCACAUUCUCGAGAUGAUUAAGCUGGAAGGCAAAGAGCAUUCAAAAGAGAGAUACGGCAAGAAUGUCCUCGAUGUUUUGGUCCAACACGAGACUGACCGGCAUCAAGAGUCUUCCAUCGGACCUGGCGAGUGUUUUGGAGCAGGAUGCAUUGGCUGUAUGCUUUCAUCUGGAGGACAAUGAUGGCGUGUCAGCUGGAGCAAGCCGUGUUUAAUCUCAGGACGUGGAGGACCCGAAAGGCGUUGUGAGGCUGCGAUUGACAGUAUUCACCGUGGAGUUUCCAGGC